GAUGAACGCUGGCGGCGUGCCUAAUACAUGCAAGUCGAGCGAAUGGAUUAAGAGCUUGCUCUUAUGAAGUUAGCGGCGGACGGGCGAGUAACACGUGGGUAACCUGCCCAUAAGACUGGGAUAACUCCGGGAAACCGGGGCUAAUACCGGAUAACAUUUUGAACCGCAUGGGUCGAAAUUGAAAGGCGGCUUCGGCUGACACUUAUGGAUGGACCCGCGUCGCAUUAGCUAGUUGGUGAGGUAACGGCUCACCAAGGCAACGAUGCGUAGCCGACCUGAGAGGGUGAUCGGCCACACUGGGACUGAGACACGGCCCAGACUCCUACGGGAGGCAGCAGUAGGGAAUCUUCCGCAAUGGACGAAAGUCUGACGGAGCAACGCCGCGUGAGUGAUGAAGGCUUUCGGGUCGUAAAACUCUGUUGUUAGGGAAGAACAAGUGCUAGUUGAGUAAGCUGGCACCUUGACGGUACCUAACCAGAAAGCCACGGCUAACUACGUGCCAGCAGCCGCGGUAA
rnacentral:rRNA from 1 species